GGGUUGUGAGGUUAAGCGACUAAGCGUACACGGUGGAUGCCCUGGCAGUCAGAGGCGAUGAAGGACGUGCUAAUCUGCGAUAAGCGUCGGUAAGGUGAUAUGAACCGUUAUAACCGGCGAUUUCCGAAUGGGGAAACCCAGUGUGUUUCGACACACUAUCAUUAACUGAAUCCAUAGGUUAAUGAGGCGAACCGGGGGAACUGAAACAUCUAAGUACCCCGAGGAAAAGAAAUCAACCGAGAUUCCCCCAGUAGCGGCGAGCGAACGGGGAGCAGCCCAGAGCCUGAAUCAGUGUGUGUGUUAGUGGAAGCGUCUGGAAAGGCGCGCGAUACAGGGUGACAGCCCCGUACACAAAAAUGCACAUGCUGUGAGCUCGAUGAGUAGGGCGGGACACGUGGUAUCCUGUCUGAAUAUGGGGGGACCAUCCUCCAAGGCUAAAUACUCCUGACUGACCGAUAGUGAACCAGUACCGUGAGGGAAAGGCGAAAAGAACCCCGGCGAGGGGAGUGAAAAAGAACCUGAAACCGUGUACGUACAAGCAGUGGGAGCACGCUUAGGCGUGUGACUGCGUACCUUUUGUAUAAUGGGUCAGCGACUUAUAUUCUGUAGCAAGGUUAACCGAAUAGGGGAGCCGAAGGGAAACCGAGUCUUAACUGGGCGUUAAGUUGCAGGGUAUAGACCCGAAACCCGGUGAUCUAGCCAUGGGCAGGUUGAAGGUUGGGUAACACUAACUGGAGGACCGAACCGACUAAUGUUGAAAAAUUAGCGGAUGACUUGUGGCUGGGGGUGAAAGGCCAAUCAAACCGGGAGAUAGCUGGUUCUCCCCGAAAGCUAUUUAGGUAGCGCCUCGUGAAUUCAUCUCCGGGGGUAGAGCACUGUUUCGGCAAGGGGGUCAUCCCGACUUACCAACCCGAUGCAAACUGCGAAUACCGGAGAAUGUUAUCACGGGAGACACACGGCGGGUGCUAACGUCCGUCGUGAAGAGGGAAACAACCCAGACCGCCAGCUAAGGUCCCAAAGUCAUGGUUAAGUGGGAAACGAUGUGGGAAGGCCCAGACAGCCAGGAUGUUGGCUUAGAAGCAGCCAUCAUUUAAAGAAAGCGUAAUAGCUCACUGGUCGAGUCGGCCUGCGCGGAAGAUGUAACGGGGCUAAACCAUGCACCGAAGCUGCGGCAGCGACACUAUGUGUUGUUGGGUAGGGGAGCGUUCUGUAAGCCUGUGAAGGUGUACUGUGAGGUAUGCUGGAGGUAUCAGAAGUGCGAAUGCUGACAUAAGUAACGAUAAAGCGGGUGAAAAGCCCGCUCGCCGGAAGACCAAGGGUUCCUGUCCAACGUUAAUCGGGGCAGGGUGAGUCGACCCCUAAGGCGAGGCCGAAAGGCGUAGUCGAUGGGAAACAGGUUAAUAUUCCUGUACUUGGUGUUACUGCGAAGGGGGGACGGAGAAGGCUAUGUUGGCCGGGCGACGGUUGUCCCGGUUUAAGCGUGUAGGCUGGUUUUCCAGGCAAAUCCGGAAAAUCAAGGCUGAGGCGUGAUGACGAGGCACUACGGUGCUGAAGCAACAAAUGCCCUGCUUCCAGGAAAAGCCUCUAAGCAUCAGGUAACAUCAAAUCGUACCCCAAACCGACACAGGUGGUCAGGUAGAGAAUACCAAGGCGCUUGAGAGAACUCGGGUGAAGGAACUAGGCAAAAUGGUGCCGUAACUUCGGGAGAAGGCACGCUGAUAUGUAGGUGAAGUCCCUCGCGGAUGGAGCUGAAAUCAGUCGAAGAUACCAGCUGGCUGCAACUGUUUAUUAAAAACACAGCACUGUGCAAACACGAAAGUGGACGUAUACGGUGUGACGCCUGCCCGGUGCCGGAAGGUUAAUUGAUGGGGUCAGCGCAAGCGAAGCUCUUGAUCGAAGCCCCGGUAAACGGCGGCCGUAACUAUAACGGUCCUAAGGUAGCGAAAUUCCUUGUCGGGUAAGUUCCGACCUGCACGAAUGGCGUAAUGAUGGCCAGGCUGUCUCCACCCGAGACUCAGUGAAAUUGAACUCGCUGUGAAGAUGCAGUGUACCCGCGGCAAGACGGAAAGACCCCGUGAACCUUUACUAUAGCUUGACACUGAACAUUGAGCCUUGAUGUGUAGGAUAGGUGGGAGGCUUUGAAGUGUGGACGCCAGUCUGCAUGGAGCCGACCUUGAAAUACCACCCUUUAAUGUUUGAUGUUCUAACGU
rnacentral:rRNA from 1 species